GGCCAGUUAGAGUUUUUUAUAGGGGGUCGGUGGUUAUCGACCACUAGGACCCGGGUUCGAUUCCCGCAUUGGACA